GAUGAAGAACGUAGCGAAAUGCGAUAAGUAGUGUGAAUUGCAGAAGUACCGUGAAUCAUCGAAUCUUUGAACGCAAAUUGCACUCUCUGGUAUUCCGGGGAGUAUGCCUGUUUGAGGGUCGCUUAACAAACCAUCGAUUUCGUUGCUUUUUUUUUAAAAAGUGAUGUUUAUCGGAUUUGAGCCGUCUUUUUUUUUUAUAUUUAAGUGGCUUAAAAUUGAUUUUUUUGGUACGAUCGAAGCGUAUUUUUAUGAUCAAUUUUUGGUUAAAGAAACGCACACGUACCGUUAUUUAUAUGAUGUAAUACGUUUGACUAUUGGAUUUAGUUCAUUCGUAUACGAUAUUUUUCAAUAUUUGACCUCAAAUCAGGUAAGAACACCCGCUGAACUUAAGCAUAUCAAUAAGCGGAGGA
rnacentral:misc_RNA from 1 species